AUAAAGUUUUAUUUUAGCUUAUAAUUUAGAUAGUAAAUUUAUAUAUAUGUAAAUUUUGUUUUUUUAAAUAAUUUUAAUUGCAGUGUUUAAUUUUAUUAAUGAAGUAAUUUUUGAUUUAGAAAUUUUAUUUUGUAUUAACAUAAUUUGUGCCAGCAGUUGCGGUUAUACAAAUAAUACAAUUUAAGUUUGUCGGGUUGAAGUUAAGUUUAAAUAUUUUAAAUUUAAAUGGAUAUUUUAAGGUGAAAUUUUAAUUUUCUAAUUUUUUAAAUUUUCUGUUCUGAAGCUUUGAAAUUUUAAUUUUAAACUGGGAUUAGAUACCCCAUUAUUUAAAAUGUAAAGUUAAUCCCUUAUUAUUAUUAGUUAUGUUCUUUAAAGUAAAAAAUUUUGGCGGUAUUUUAGUCUUUUCAGAGGAACCUGUUGUGUAAAUGAUGAUCCACGAUUAUUUUUACCUUUUUAAUAUAAGUUUGUAUAUCGCCGUGGUUGAAGAUUUCAUUAGAAUUGAAUCUUCUAUUUCACCAUAUUGUUGGAAAUCAGGUCAAGGUGCAGUUUAUAGGAAGGAUUAAAUGGGUUACAAUAAGAUUAUUUAUGCGGAUAUUAAUAUGUUUAUAUUAUUUGAAGAUGGAUUUGAAAGUAAAUUUUUUUAUUUAAGAAAUUGAUUUAGCUCUAAAAUAUGCACAUAUCGCCCGUCGCUCCCAUUAUUUGGGAUAAGUCGUAACAAAGUAGUCUUACUGGAAAGUGUGUCUAGAUGGA
rnacentral:ncRNA from 1 species